CGUGCAGCCGGGUCUGCAAGUCAGAUGUGAAAUCCAUGGGCUCAACCCAUGAACUGCAUUUGAAACUGUAGAUCUUGAGUGUCGGAGGGGCAAUCGGAAUUCCUAGUGUAGCGGUGAAAUGCGUAGAUAUUAGGAGGAACACCAGUGGCGAAGGCGGAUUGCUGGACGAUAACUGACGGUGAGGCGCGAAAGGUGUGGGAGCAAACA
rnacentral:rRNA from 1 species